UACGUAGGUCGCAAGCGUUGUCCGGAUUUACUGGGCGUAAAGAGCGCGCAGGCGGCUGGUCAAGUCCGAUGUGAAAUCUCCCGGCUCAACUGGGAAACUGCAUCGGAAACUGAUCGGCUUGAAGAUGGGAGAGGGUAGUGGAAUUCCCGGUGUAGUGGUGAAAUGCGUAGAUAUCGGGAGGAACACCAGUGGCGAAGGCGACUACCUGGCCUGUUCUUGACGCUGAGGCGCGAAAGCUAGGGGAGCAAACGGG
rnacentral:rRNA from 1 species